UAGGGAAUCUUCCGCAAUGGACGCAAGUCUGACGGAGCAACGCCGCGUGAGUGAAGAAGGAUUUCGGUUCGUAAAACUCUGUUGUUAGAGAAGAACAGCGCAUAGAGUAACUGUUAUGCGUGUGACGGUAUCUAACCAGAAAGCCACGGCUAACUACGUGCCAGCAGCCGCGGUAAUACGUAGGUGGCAAGCGUUGUCCGGAUUUAUUGGGCGUAAAGCGAGCGCAGGCGGUCAAUUAAGUCUGAUGUGAACGCCCCCGGCUCAACCGGGGAGGGUCAUUGGAAACUGGUUGACUUGAGUGCAGAAGAGGAGAGUGGAAUUCCAUGUGUAGCGGUGAAAUGCGUAGAUAUAUGGAGGAACACCAGUGGCGAAGGCGACCCUCUGGUCUGUAACUGACGCUGAGGCUCGAAAGCGUGGGUAGCAAACAGG
rnacentral:rRNA from 1 species